rnacentral:rRNA from 1 species
UACGUAGGGCGCAAGCGUUGUCCGGAAUUAUUGGGCGUAAAGAGCUCGUAGGUGGCUUGUCACGCCGGGUGUGAAAGCUUGGGGCUUAACUCCAGGUCUGCAUUCGAUACGGGCUGGCUAGAGGUAGGUAGGGGAGAACGGAAUUCCUGGUGUAGCGGUGAAAUGCGCAGAUAUCAGGAAGAACACCCGUGGCUAAGGCGGCUCUCUAGUACGGUACUGACGCUGAGACGCGAAAGCGUGGGGAGCGAACAGG